rnacentral:rRNA from 1 species
UACGUAGGAGGCAAGCGUUGUCCGGAAUUACUGGGUGUAAAGCGCGUGUAGGUGGGAGGCCAAGUCUGUGGUGAAAGCGCCCGGCUCAACUGGGCAGGGUCCAUGGAAACUGGUCACCUGGAGGACGGUAGAGGCGAGUGGAAUUCCCGGUGUAGUGGUGAAAUGCGUAGAGAUCGGGAGGAACACCAGUGGCGAAGGCGGCUCGCUGGGCCGGUCCUGACACUGAGACGCGAAGGCGUGGGGAGCGAACGGG